UUUCAUUUUUCUUAUUCUUAUUUUUAACUAAAAUAUUAUGAAGUAUGAAAAUUAUGAGCUAAUAUCAACAGUCUAAUUAUUAGUUGUUGAGGUUCUAAUUUACCAUCGGAUUUGAUUUAGGAUUUGUCUAUGAUUUGGUUAGGACUUAGGAUUUGAUCUAAGAUUUGGUUAGGAUUAUGAUUUUAUUAGGAUUUGAUAUAGAACUUAUCUAGGAUUUAGGAUUUUAUUAAGAUUUGGCCUAGGAUUUAGUUAAAAUUCAAUUAGGAUUUCAAUUAGAAUUG
rnacentral:lncRNA from 1 species